rnacentral:misc_RNA from 1 species
UUUCCGUAGGUGAACCUGCGGAAGGAUCAUUACUGAAUGAACUUGGUGUGGUUGUUGCUGGCUCUUUCGAGGGCAUGUGCACGCCCACCAUCCUCAUCUCUCCACCUGUGCACCUCUUGUAGACUUGGAUUGACUUUCCGAGGCAACUCGGUCGGGAGGAUUGCCGGCGCCAGCUGGCUUUCUUUGCAUUUCCAGGUCUACGUUUUUCAUAUACCCCAUUGUAUGUAACAGAAUGUAACAUUGGGCACUUGUGCCUAUAAACUUUAUACAACUUUCAGCAACGGAUCUCUUGGCUCUC